GGCUGUGCCAGAAAAAUCUGAUUGGCUUAGACAUUUACCAUACAAAAAGUUUGCAUGUUGAUAGCUUAUUUCUCCUCUGUUAGUUAUUUGGUAUAUAUUUUAUAAGUAAUAUACGCCGAGUGGAAUGCAGGAUGCCGGUUUACAGCUUCUGUGCGUACAAUAAUUACUCAUAUGUAGUUGUUUAUCUUUCAUGGCACAUAUUGUUCUCCUAAACAGGACUGGG